rnacentral:rRNA from 1 species
UGACGACCGGCGCACGGGUGCGUAACGCGUAUAGAACCUACCUAUUACUGGAGGAUAGCCCAGAGAAAUUUGGAUUAAUACUCCAUGGUAUACUUGAUUGGCAUCGAUUAGGUAUUAAAGAUUUAUUGGUAAUAGAUGGCUAUGCGUCUUAUUAGCUAGUUGGUAAGGUAACGGCUUACCAAGGCAGCGAUAAGUAGGGGUCCUGAGAGGGAGAUCCCCCACACUGGUACUGAGACACGGACCAGACUCCUACGGGAGGCAGCAGUGAGGAACAUUGGACAAUGGAGGCAACUCUGAUCCAGCCAUGCCGCGUGCAGGAAGACUGCCCUAUGGGUUGUAAACUGCUUUUGUAUAGGAAGAAUUGCAACUACGUGUAGUUGUUUGACGGUACUAUAAGAAUAAGCAUCGGCUAACUCCGUGCCAGCAGCCGCGGUAAUACGGAGGAUGCGAGCGUUAUCCGGAAUCAUUGGGUUUAAAGGGUCCGUAGGCUGUUUAGUAAGUCAGUGGUGAAAGUUUGCGGCUUAACCGUAAAAUUGCCAUUGAUACUGCUAGGCUUGAAUAGUUGUGAAGUGGUUAGAAUAAGUAGUGUAGCGGUGAAAUGCAUAGAUAUUACUUAGAAUACCGAUUGCGAAGGCAGAUCACUAACAAUUUAUUGACGCUGAGGGACGAAAGCGUGGGUAGCGAACAGGAUUAGAUACCCUGGUAGUCCACGCCGUAAACGAUGGAUACUAGCUGUUUGGAUUUCGGUCUGAGUGGCUAAGCGAAAGUGAUAGGUAUCCCACCUGGGGGAGUACGUUCGCAAGAAUGAAACUCAAAGGAAUUGACGGGGGCCCGCACAAGCGGUGGAGCAUGUGGUUUAAUUCGAUGAUACGCGAGGAACCUUACCAGGGCUUAAAUGUAGAUUGACAGUCUGAGAGAUCGGAUUUUCUUCGGACAAUUUACAAGGUGCUGCAUGG